GACGAACGCUGCGGCGGGCUUAACACCUGCCAGUCGGACGGAAAAGCCCUGCUUUUGGGGGGUGCCCCAGUGGCGAACCGGUUGGUAAAACGUGGGUUACCUUGCCCUGGAUUUGGGGUUAAUUCAGGAAAAUUGGGGUAAUGCCGGAUUAGAGGUUCCGCCUCAUUGUGGGGGGUGGGAAGGUUUCGGCGGUUGGGGAUGGACUCGCGGCUUAUCAGCUUGUUGGUGGGGUAGUGGCUUACCAAGGCUUUGACGGGUAGCCGGCCUGAGAGGGUGACCGGCCACAUUGGGACUGAGAUACGGCCCAGACUCCUACGGGAGGCAGCAGUGGGGAAUAUUGCACAAUGGGCGGAAGCCUGAUGCAGCAACGCCGCGUGCGGGAUGACGGCCUUCGGGUUGUAAACCGCUUUCGCCUGUGACGAAGCGUGAGUGACGGUAAUGGGUAAAGAAGCACCGGCUAACUACGUG
rnacentral:rRNA from 1 species